UGGGGAAUUUUGGACAAUGGGGGAAACCCUGAUCCAGCCAUCCCGCGUGUGCGAUGAAGGCCUUCGGGUUGUAAAGCACUUUUGGCAGGAAAGAAACGUCAUGGGUUAAUACCCCGUGAAACUGACGGUACCUGCAGAAUAAGCACCGGCUAACUACGUGCCAGCAGCCGCGGUAAUACGUAGGGUGCAAGCGUUAAUCGGAAUUACUGGGCGUAAAGCGUGCGCAGGCGGUUCGGAAAGAAAGAUGUGAAAUCCCAGAGCUCAACUUUGGAACUGCAUUUUUAACUACCGGGCUAGAGUGUGUCAGAGGGAGGUGAAAUUCCGCGUGUAGCAGUGACAUGCGUAGAUAUGCGGAGGAACACCGAUGGCGAAGGCAGCCUCCUGGGAUAACACUGACGCUCAUGCACGAAAGCGUGGGGAGCAAACAGG
rnacentral:rRNA from 1 species